rnacentral:rRNA from 1 species
UACGUAGGGUGCGAGCGUUAAUCGGAAUUACUGGGCGUAAAGUGUGCGCAGGUGGCCGCGCAAGUCGAGUGUGAAAUCCCCGAGCUUAACUUGGGAACUGCAUUUGUGACUGCAUCGCUGGAGUGCGGCAGAGGGGGAUGGAAUUCCGCGUGUAGCAGUGAAAUGCGUAGAUAUGCGGAGGAACACCGAUGGCGAAGGCAAUCCCCUGGGCCUGCACUGACGCUCAUGCACGAAAGCGUGGGGAGCAAACAGG